UACGGAGGGGACUAGCGUUGUUCGGAGUUACUGGGCGUAAAGGGUGUGUAGGCGGUUGCUUAAGUUUGGUGUGAAAUCUCCCGGCUCAACUGGGAGGGUGCGCCGAAUACUGAGUGACUCGAGUGCGGGAGAGGAAAGUGGAAUUCCAGGUGUAGCGGUGAAAUGCGUAGAUAUCUGGAGGAACACCGGUGGUGUAGACGGCUUUCUGGACCGUAACUGACGCUGAGACACGAAAGCGUGGGUAGCAAACAGG
rnacentral:rRNA from 1 species